rnacentral:rRNA from 1 species
GGUUAAGCGAAUAAGCGUACACGGUGGAUGCCUAGGCAAUCAGAGGCGAUGAAGGACGUGCUAAUCUGCGAAAAGCGUCGGUAAGGUGAUAUGAACCGUUAUACCCGACGAUAUCCGAAUGGGGAAACCCAGUAUCCAAUGGAUACUAUCAUUAACUGAAUCCAUAGGUUAAUGAGGCGAACCGGGAGAACUGAAACAUCUCAGUACCCCGAGGAAAAGAAAUCAACCGAGAUUCCCCUAGUAGCGGCGAGCGAACGGGGAGCAGCCCAGAGUCUUAAUCAAUAGCAGUGUCAGGAGAACGGUCUGGAAAGUCCGGCAGUAAAGGGUGAUAGCCCCGUAUCUGAAGAUGCUGUUAUUGUGAACUCGACGAGUAGGGCGGGACACGUGUUAUCCUGUCUGAAUAUGGGGGGACCAUCCUCCAAGGCUAAAUACUCCUGAUUGACCGAUAGUGAACCAGUACCGUGAGGGAAAGGCGAAAAGAACCCCGGCGAGGGGAGUGAAAAAGAACCUGAAACCGUGUACGUACAAGCAGUAGGAGCCUCUUUAUGGGGUGACUGCGUACCUUUUGUAUAAUGGGUCAGCGACUUAUAUUCUGUAGCGAGGUUAACCGUAUAGGGGAGCCGUAGGGAAACCGAGUCUUAACUGGGCGAAUGAGUUGCAGGGUAUAGACCCGAAACCCGGUGAUCUAUCCAUGGGCAGGUUGAAGGUUGGGUAACACUAACUGGAGGACCGAACCGACUAAUGUUGAAAAAUUAGCGGAUGACUUGUGGAUGGGGGUGAAAGGCCAAUCAAACCGGGAGAUAGCUGGUUCUCCCCGAAAGCUAUUUAGGUAGCGCCUCGUGAACUCAUCUUCGGGGGUAGAGCACUGUUUCGACUAGGGGGUCAUCCCGACUUACCAACUCGAUGCAAACUGCGAAUACCGAAGAAUGUUAUCACGGGAGACACACGGCGGGUGCUAACGUCCGUCGUGAAGAGGGAAACAACCCAGACCGCCAGCUAAGGUCCCAAAGUCAUGGUUAAGUGGGAAACGAAGUGGGAAGGCUCAGACAGCCAGGAUGUUGGCUUAGAAGCAGCCAUCAUUUAAAGAAAGCGUAAUAGCUCACUGGUCGAGUCGGCCCGCGCGGAAGAUGUAACGGGGCUAAACCAUGCACCGAAGCUGCGGCAGCGACACAAAGUGUUGUUGGGUAGGGGAGCGUUCUGUAAGCCUGCGAAGGUGUACUGUGAGGUAUGCUGGAGGUAUCAGAAGUGCGAAUGCUGACAUAAGUAACGAUAAUGCGGGUGAAAAACCCGCACGCCGGAAGACCAAGGGUUCCUGUCCAACGUUAAUCGGGGCAGGGUGAGUCGACCCCUAAGGCGAGGCUGAAAAGCGUAGUCGAUGGGAAACGGGUUAAUAUUCCCGUACUGGUGGUAACUGCGAUGGGGGAACGGAGAAGGCUAGGUUGUCCGGGCGACGGUCGUCCCGGUUCAAGCAGGUAGGCAGAGUGAUUAGGCAAAUCCGGUCACUUAAUGCUGAGAUGUGAUGACGAACCACCAAGGUGGUGAAGCAAUUGAUGCCCCGCUUCCAGGAAAAGCCUCUAAGCUUCAGGUUACCAACAAUCGUACCCCAAACCGACACAGGUGGUCAGGUAGAGAAUACUCAGGCGCUUGAGAGAACUCGGGUGAAGGAACUAGGCAAAAUGGUGCCGUAACUUCGGGAGAAGGCACGCUGGCGGUAGGUAAAGUCCCUCGCGGACGGCGCUGAAGCCAGUCGAAGAUACCAGCUGGCUGCAACUGUUUAUUAAAAACACAGCACUGUGCAAACACGAAAGUGGACGUAUACGGUGUGACGCCUGCCCGGUGCUGGAAGGUUAAUUGAUGGGGUUAGCGCAAGCGAAGCUCCUGAUCGAAGCCCCAGUAAACGGCGGCCGUAACUAUAACGGUCCUAAGGUAGCGAAAUUCCUUGUCGGGUAAGUUCCGACCUGCACGAAUGGCGUAAUGAUGGCCAGGCUGUCUCCACCCGAGACUCAGUGAAAUUGAACUCGCUGUGAAGAUGCAGUGUACCCGCGGCAAGACGGAAAGACCCCGUGAACCUUUACUAUAGCUUGACACUGAACAUUGAGCCUUGAUGUGUAGGAUAGGUGGGAGGCUUUGAAGUGUGGACGCCAGUCUGCAUGGAGCCAACCUUGAAAUACCACCCUUUAACGUUUGAUGUUCUAACCUAGGCCCAUAAACUGGGUCGGGGACCGUGUCUGGUGGGUAGUUUGACUGGGGCGGUCUCCUCCUAAAGAGUAACGGAGGAGCACGAAGGUUGGCUAAGCAUGGUCGGACAUCAUGCGGUUAGUGCAAAGGCAUAAGCCAGCUUGACUGCGAGAGUGACGGCUCGAGCAGGUACGAAAGUAGGUCUUAGUGAUCCGGUGGUUCUGAAUGGAAGGGCCAUCGCUCAACGGAUAAAAGGUACUCCGGGGAUAACAGGCUGAUACCGCCCAAGAGUUCAUAUCGACGGCGGUGUUUGGCACCUCGAUGUCGGCUCAUCACAUCCUGGGGCUGAAGUAGGUCCCAAGGGUAUGGCUGUUCGCCAUUUAAAGUGGUACGCGAGCUGGGUUUAGAACGUCGUGAGACAGUUCGGUCCCUAUCUGCCGUGGGCGUUGGAAGAUUGAGAGGGGUUGCUCCUAGUACGAGAGGACCGGAGUGAACGCACCACUGGUGUUCGGGUUGUCAUGCCAAUGGCAUUGCCCGGUAGCUAAGUGCGGAAGAGAUAACCGCUGAAAGCAUCUAAGCGGGAAACUUGCCUCGAGAUGAGUCUUCCCUGUCGCUUUAAGCGACCUAAAGGAACGUUUAAGACUAAGACGUUGAUAGGCUGGGUGUGUAAGCGUAGCGAUACGUUGAGCUAACCAGUACUAAUGAACCGUGAGGCUUAACCUG